UAUUAAAAUUUAUAUAUAUUUCUAUUACUAAAAACUAGCAUGAUUAACAAAAUAACUAGAUAGUUAUACAUGAUAAGCUUUAUGUCUCUCAUGCUGACUUGCAAUGAUCAAUUUUUAAUAGUACAAAUGGAUGUAAUUUUUAACA
rfam:Gossypium hirsutum cultivar TM-1 unplaced genomic scaffold scaffold944.1, whole genome shotgun sequence